rnacentral:rRNA from 1 species
AGGGUAUAGACCCGAAACCCGGUGAUCUAGCCAUGGGCAGGUUGAAGGUUGGGUAACACUAACUGGAGGACCGAACCGACUAAUGUUGAAAAAUUAGCGGAUGACCUGUGGCUGGGGGUGAAAGGCCAAUCAAACCGGGAGAUAGCUGGUUCUCCCCGAAAGCUAUUUAGGUAGCGCCUCGUGAAUUCAUCUCCGGGGGUAGAGCACUGUUUCGGCUAGGGGGCCAUCCCGGCUUACCAACCCGAUGCAAACUGCGAAUACCGGAGAAUGUUAUCACGGGAGACACACGGCGGGUGCUAACGUCCGUCGUGAAGAGGGAAACAACCCAGACCGCCAGCUAAGGUCCCAAAGUCAUGGUUAAGUGGGAAACGAUGUGGGAAGGCCCAGACAGCCAGGAUGUUGGCUUAGAAGCAGCCAUCAUUUAAAGAAAGCGUAAUAGCUCACUGGUCGAGUCGGCCUGCGCGGAAGAUGUAACGGGGCUAAACCAUGCACCGAAGCUGCGGCAGCGAACGUAUCACCCAAGACAACUUUACGGAGUUGACGAUUGACGGAGCGAAGCGACGUCAAAGCGUUCAUUAAAGUCGAGUUGGCUUAGGGAUACGUUCGUUGGGUAGGGGAGCGUUCUGUAAGCCUGUGAAGGUGUGUCGUGAGGCAUGCUGGAGGUAUCAGAAGUGCGAAUGCUGACAUAAGUAACGAUAAAGCGGGUGAAAAGCCCGCUCGCCGGAAGACCAAGGGUUCCUGUCCAACGUUAAUCGGGGCAGGGUGAGUCGACCCCUAAGGCGAGGCCGAAAGGCGUAGUCGAUGGGAAACGGGUUAAUAUUCCCGUACUUGGUGUUACUGCGAAGGGGGGACGGAGAAGGCUAUGUUGGCCGGGCGACGGUUGUCCCGGUUUAAGCGUGUAGGUGUGUGUUCCAGGUAAAUCCGGUU